AGUUCGCCGCCUGGGGAGUACGGUCGCAAGACUGAAACUCAAAGGAAUUGANCGGGGGCCCGCACAAGCGGUGGAGUAUGUGGUUUAAUUCGAUGCAACGCGAAGAACCUUACCUGGCCUUGACAUGUNUGGAAUUCUGCAGAGAUGCGGAAGUGCCUUCGGGAACCAGAACACAGGUGCUGCAUGGCNGUCGUCAGCUCGUGUCGUGAGAUGUUGGGUUAAGUCCCGCAACGAGCGCAACCCUUGUCCUUAGUUGCCAGCACGUAAUGGUGGGAACUCUAAGGAGACUGCCGGUGACAAACCGGAGGAAGGUGGGGAUGACGUCAAGUCAUCAUGGCCCUUACGGCCAGGGCUACACACGUACUACAAUGGUCGGUAUCAGAGGGUUGCAAUACCCGCCGAGGUGGAGCCAAUCCCAGAAAGCCGAUCCCAGUCCGGAUCGUAGUCUGCAACUCGACUACGUGAAGUCNGGAAUCGCUAGUAAUGCGCGGGAUCAGCUAUGA
rnacentral:rRNA from 1 species